UACGUAGGUGACAAGCGUUGUCCGGAUUUACUGGGCGUAAAGAGCGCGCAGGCGGUCGUUCAAGUCGAGUGUGAAAGCCCCCGGCUCAACUGGGGAGGGUCACUCGAUACUGAUCGACUCGAAGGCAGGAGAGGGAAGUGGAAUUCCCGGUGUAGUGGUGAAAUGCGUAGAUAUCGGGAGAACACCAGUGGCGAAGGCGGACUUCCUGGCCUGUUCUUGACGCUGAGGCGCGAAAGCUAGGGGAGCAAAGCGGG
rnacentral:rRNA from 1 species